rnacentral:rRNA from 1 species
AGUGAACGCUGGCGGUAGGCCUAACACAUGCAAGUCGAACGGCAGCACAGUAAGAGCUUGCUCUUACGGGUGGCGAGUGGCGGACGGGUGAGGAAUACAUCGGAAUCUACUUUUUCGUGGGGGUUAACGUAGGGAAACUUACGCUAAUACCGCAUACGACCUACGGGUGAGAGCAGGGGAUAUUCGGACCUUGCGCGAUUGAAUGAGCCGAUGUCGGAUUAGCUAGUUGGCGGGGUAAAGGCCCACCAAGGCGACGAUCCGUAGCUGGUCUGAGAGGAUGAUCAGCCACACUGGAACUUAGACACGGUCCAGACGCCUACGGGAGGCAGCAGUGGGGAAUAUUGGGCAAUGGGCGCAAGCCUGAUCCAGCCAUACCGCGUGGGUGAAGAAGGCCUUCGGGUUGUAAAGCCCUUUUGUUGGGAAAGAAAAGCAGCAGGUUAAUACCCCGCUGUUCUGACGGUACCCAAAGAAUAAGCACCGGCUAACUUCGUG